UUUAUCGCGUGUCAAGCAGUCCAGCUGUUCUUGUAAUUAAAAAAAUACGAAAAAGGAGCAUCCGUUUAUUUGUGAGAAGAUAGAGCAGUGAUAUGAUAUCAUCAAGUAGUGAUGAAUGGGUCAAUGAGGAGCAAGAGACACUCUUCUGACAUCUUGGGAUCAGCCUGCUCGAGCCAAACUUUGCGAAUCUCUCGACAAUUGGGCUCCUAAAAGACGUGAUGACCAGAUACGCAACAGGUGUGAACACAGUAUCCUGAUUUAAUCGUUACAAUUCCGCAUAAUUUGGAUUUCAGUAACUGACUAAUAA